UACGAGGGGGGCAAAUGUUGUUCGGAAUCACUGGGCGUAAAGCGCGCGUAGGCGGCCCUGUAAGUCCGCUGUGAAAGUCAAAGGCUCAACCUUUGAAAGCCGGUGGAUACUGCAGGGCUAGAGUCCGGAAGAGGCGAGUGGAAUUCCUGGUGUAGCGGUGGAAUGCGCAGAUAUCAGGAGGAACACCAAUAGCGAAGGCAGCUCGCUGGGACGGUACUGACGCUAAGGCGCGAAAGCGUGGGGAGCGAACAGG
rnacentral:rRNA from 1 species